rnacentral:rRNA from 1 species
GACGAACGCUGGCGGCGUGCUUAACACAUGCAAGUCGAACGGAAAGGCCCUGCUUUUGUGGGGUGCUCGAGUGGCGAACGGGUGAGUAACACGUGAGUAACCUGCCCUUGACUUUGGGAUAACUUCAGGAAACUGGGGCUAAUACCGGAUAGGAGCUCCUGCUGCAUGGUGGGGGUUGGUAAGUUUCGGCGGUUGGGGAUGGACUCGCGGCUUAUCAGCUUGUUGGUGGGGUAGUGGCUUACCAAGGCUUUGACGGGUAGCCGGCCUGAGAGGGUGACCGGCCACAUUGGGACUGAGCUACGGCCCAGAAUACUACGGGAGGCAGCAGUGGGGAAUAUUGCACAAUGGGCGGAAGCCUGAUGCAGCAACGCCGCGUGCGGGAUGACGGACUUCGGGUUGUAAACCGCUUUCGCCUGUGACGAAGCGUGAGUGACGGUAAUGGGUAAAGAAGCACCGGCUAACUACGUG